GAAGGUAAGCGUGCUUGGGCGAGAGUAGUACUAGGAUGGGUGACCUCCGAAGUUAAGCGUGCUUGGGCGAGAGUAGUACUAGGAUGGGUGACCUCCUAGGAAGUCCUCGUGUUGCAUUCC
rnacentral:rRNA from 13 species